rnacentral:rRNA from 1 species
AGAGUUUGAUCAUGGCUCAGAAUCAACGCUGGCGGCGCGCUUAACACAUGCAAGUCGCACGAGAAAGCGGGAGCAAUCCCGCAAGUACAGUGGCGUACGGGUGAGUAACACGUGGGUGAUCUACCCUUUAGUGGGGAAUAACGCUGGGAAACCGGCGCUAAUACCGCGUAAGCUCGAGAGAGGAAAGCAGCAAUGCGCUGAAGGAGGAGCCCGCGGCCGAUUAGCUAGUUGGGAGGGUAAAAGCCUACCAAGGCAGAGAUCGGUAGCCGGCCUGAGAGGGCACACGGCCACACUGGCACUGAAACACGGGCCAGACUCCUACGGGAGGCAGCAGUGGGGAAUCUUGCACAAUGGGGGAAACCCUGAUGCAGCGACGCCGCGUGAGCGAUGAAGCCCUUCGGGGUGUAAAGCUCUUUCGUCAGGGACGAUAAUGACGGUACCUGGAGAAGCAGCUGCGGCUAACUACGUGCCAGCAGCCGCGGUA